rnacentral:rRNA from 1 species
GGGCAAUGUAAGGUUAAUUGGAAGACAGUUUGCAGACCAAAGAGGCUUGGCGGAUUGGGUGUUCUAGACCUUCACAUGUAUGCGAGAGCUUUGCGGCUAAGAUGGAUGUGGUAUGAAUGGAAGGAACCCGGUAGAGCAUGGGUGGGCAUGGGAAACCCAUGUGAUUCCAUGGACAGAGAGCUUUUCUACGCUGCUACGACUAUCACCAUGGGAGACGGGUGGACGACAUGCUUCUGA